AUUGAACGCUGGCGACAUGCCUUACACAUGCAAGUCGAACGGUAACAGGUCUUCGGAUGCUGACGAGUGGCGAACGGGUGAGUAAUACAUCGGAACGUGCCCGAUCGUGGGGGAUAACGAAGCGAAAGCUUUGCUAAUACCGCAUACGAUCUACGGAUGAAAGCAGGGGACCGCAAGGCCUUGCGCGAACGGAGCGGCCGAUGGCAGAUUAGGUAGUUGGUGGGAUAAAAGCUUACCAAGCCGACGAUCUGUAGCUGGUCUGAGAGGACGACCAGCCACACUGGGACUGAGACACGGCCCAGACUCCUACGGGAGGCAGCAGUGGGGAAUUUUGGACAAUGGGCGAAAGCCUGAUCCAGCCAUGCCGCGUGCAGGAUGAAGGCCUUCGGGUUGUAAACUGCUUUUGUACGGAACGAAGAGACUCUGGUUAAUACCUGGGGUCCAUGACGGUACCGUAAGAAUAAGCACCGGCUAACUACGUGCCAGCCGCCGCCGUAAGAC
rnacentral:rRNA from 1 species